CAGGGCUGCCUUUUCCUUUGUUAAUGUUUGAUUCUUUUUAAUGAUUUCAGAUUAAAAUGUGAUUAUUUUCAAUUAGUAGUUGCACUUCUUAAUUACGGAGAUGAAUUAGAUUGCUGUUCAUUAUUAAUUAGAUUUUAACUUUGCACUGAUUACAUCUUCUAUCAGUCACUUCCCACACUCCUUUCCUUCCCUUUCCAUCCAAACUCCCUCUCCCCCUGUGCCACCCCAAACCCCACUGGUUUCCUGCUCCCCUGCAGCAUCCUGGGGGUUUAAAAGCUGCCUAGAAAAUAGAAAUCAAUGUUAUCGGCUCACAGGCUGCAACUGCCUCCUUCAAAGGGCCAAUAACACCAACCAGAUGAUGUCAUUUUGUGGCUAAAAACCAUUAAAAGGAAGCAUUAAUAUUCUGCCUCCCUCCAACACUGGCUGGAUGAGAAACUAUUCCCUAAUUGCCUGCUGGGGUGGAUCUGCUCUUCCAGUGAGCAGAAGGGACCUGAUCCCCUCACCCCUGCUGCCCUGCUUGUGUCCUCUGUGUUCCCCAGGUGUGACCGUCUCGUGCCCCUUGGUGAAAUGUCGACAAUCCUGAAAUGGUUUGGACGGGAGGAUAAGGAGAAAGAGGAGGACAGGAAAGAGAAGGAAGAGAAGGAGAAGGAAAAGACUGAGGGAGAAAAGGAGAAGGAGAAGCAGAAGAGGAGGAAGAAGGAAGAAGAAAAGGUAGGGGAAUGAUGGAGUUUUCUGCAGAACCAUUGACAUCCUGGCUGUAAGAGGAAGCCACAUCUGAGCCAUGGCAAACCUGUAACAGAUGGAGCUGUGCUGCCCACAGCCUAGAAAUCCCAGUGUCCAUGGCUUUUCCACAAUUUGCUCCCAGCAUUCCUACUUAGAUCUCCCU
rnacentral:lncRNA from 1 species